rnacentral:tRNA from 1 species
GUUGUUUUGGCAGAUUAGUGUAAUUGAUUUAGAAUCUUUAUAUGUGUAGGUACACAAGCAAUA